UACGGAGGAUGCGAGCGUUAUCCGGAUUUAUUGGGUUUAAAGGGUGCGUAGGCGGAUUAAUAAGUCAGUGGUGAAAACCUUCAGCUUAACUGGAGACUUGCCAUUGAUACUGUUAGUCUUGAGUACGGUCAAGGUAGGCGGAAUGCGUAAUGUAGCGGUGAAAUGCUUAGAUAUUACACAGAACACCGAUUGCGAAGGCAGCUUACUGGGCCAUUACUGACGCUGAUGCACGAAAGCGUGGGGAGCGAACAGGAUUAGAUACCCUGGUAGUCCACGCCGUAAACGAUGAUCACUCGCUGUUAGCGAUACACAGUUAGCGGCUAAGCAAAAGCAUUAAGUGAUCCACCUGGGGAGUACGGCCGCAAGGCUGAAACUCAAAGGAAUUGACGGGGGCCCGCACAAGCGGAGGAACAUGUGGUUUAAUUCGAUGAUACGCGAGGAACCUUACCUGGGCUUAAAUGUAGAGUGCAUGAAGUGGAAACAUUUCUUUCCUUCGGGACUCUUUGCAAGGUGCUGCAUGGUUGUCGUCAGCUCGUGCCGUGAGGUGUCGGGUUAAGUCCCAUAACGAGCGCAACCCUUAUCGUUAGUUGCCAGCGGGUAAUGCCGGGAACUCUAACGAAACUGCCGGUGUAAACCGUGAGGAAGGUGGGGAUGACGUCAAAUCAGCACGGCCCUUAUGUCCAGGGCCACACACGUGUUACAAUGGCCGGUACAGAGGGCAGCUACCUGGAGACAGGAUGCGAAUCUCCAAAGCCGGUCUCAGUUCGGAUCGGAGUCUGCAACUCGACUCCGUGAAGCUGGAUUCGCUAGUAAUCGCGCAUCAGCCAUGGCGCGGUGAAUACGUUCCCGGGCCUUGUACACACCGCCCGUCAAGCCAUGGAAGUUGGGGGUACCUGAAGUCCGUAACCGUAAGGAGCGGCCUAGGGUAAAACUAGUGACUGGGGCU
rnacentral:rRNA from 1 species